rnacentral:rRNA from 1 species
UACGUAGGGUGCGAGCGUUGUCCGGAUUUAUUGGGCGUAAAGAGCUCGUAGGCGGUUUGUCGCGUCGGCCGUGAAAUCUCCACGCUUAACGUGGAGCGUGCGGUCGAUACGGGCAAGCUAGAAUUCGGUAGGGGAGACUGGAAUUCCUGGUGUAGCGGUGAAAUGCGCAGAUAUCAGGAGGAACACCGGUGGCGAAGGCGGGUCUCUGGGCCGAAAUUGACGCUGAGGAGCGAAAGCGUGGGGAGCAAACAGG